rnacentral:rRNA from 1 species
CUACGGGAUGCACCAGUGGGGAAUAUUGCACAAUGGAGGAAACUCUGAUGCAGCAACGCCGCGUGGAGGAUGACACUUUUCGGAGCGUAAACUCCUUUUAUAUAGGAAGAAGAUGACGGUACUAUAUGAAUAAGCGCCGACUAACUCCGUGCCAGCAGCCGCGGUAAUACGGAGGGCGCAAGCGUUACUCGGAGUCACUGGGCGUAAAGAGCGUGUAGGCGGAUUAAAAAGUCAGAAGUGAAAUCCUAUAGCUUAACUAUAGAACUGCUUCUGAAACUCUUAAUCUAGAAUAUGGGAGAGGUAGAUGGAAUUUCUGGUGUAGGGGUAAAAUCCGUAGAGAUCAGAAGGAAUACCGAUUGCGAAGGCGAUCUACUAGAACAUUAUUGACGCUGAGACGCGAAAGCGUGGGGAGCAAACAGGAUUAGAUACCCCCGUAGUC